CAUGGGGGUGAGUAAAUUAUCAGGAAAUUUUAAUUCUGAAGUGAACUAAUCCUUUACUUAUUGUAAAGUGUUUCAGUUUCUUCUGUAUGUGUUGUGUGUAUGUUGACUGAUAACCCUCAUGUAACGUCCAUGAUGUUGGUUUGGCCGAUUGAAGCGGCGGUGAGUUAAAGGCAGAUGCACACAAACCUCGAGCUGUCAGAAAACACUGAGAAGCGGAUGCGCCUUUAUUCUGCCUCUCCUUUAUUCCUCUGACAGCGCUGGAACACCUCGUAUCUGCAGCACAGGAUCCUCCAAUAAUUGCCUGAUUCAAUAUUCACAGUCAAAUCUGCAGAGAAAUGUAUCGAAAAAGACUUUGUGGGAAAAUAAAUAUCUCGUCCUGUGAGAGUGGCACAUUUAAAAUUGUGUGUGUGUGUGUGUGUGUGAGAUGAUGUGAGAAACUGAAAUGAAGGUGGAUGAGAGAAAGAAAGAGUGAUUGACUCUCAUCAGGUGUUUGAAGUCAUGUGAUUUUCCAGACUCUCACCUUUACGUUCCUCACAUCUUUUGAUCAUGUUUUAAAGAGGAAUGUGAUCAGUGGCUCGUCCGCUAACGAUCGCUUCUGUGACUUUCUCACUUUUAAUUUUGGGUUAAAACAUGCUCGACUUUCAGAUCUUCACAUUAUAUUUUUUAGAUAAUUCAAUCAAAACUGAAAGUGUGUAUGAAGUCAGCGGCUCCUGCAGAUGUUCAGACACUUCAGUCAUUUAUGGGGGUCCACUAGGGGCCUCAAGAUGACUUAAAGUCAGAUAAAACAACCAAGACGUUUCUCAUUUAAUUCACCCCCUGAAAACCUUUGUGUCUUUGCAAAAAAACAGGAUUCCUGAUACAACCUUUCCUGUUGCUCAUGACUUAAGAUAUGAUCUGAGACGAAGGAAUCCUCUGAGAUUUUCACAUGUUGACACACUGACCGUUCACUGGAAUCCGACACGAGUUUGUUGUUUUCCUGCUGUAUGAAAACUCUCCAAAACUCCCUCCAUAUUGUCACAUUUUGGCUCCUAAGACAGUCACUCCCAUGAGGCUCGCCGGCGCCGCUUCCUCCUCUGUAGGUUUUGAAAAGCGCUUUCUGACAGCGUCCGGGCCGAGCGGCCGAUCACUGUCACCAAUUUGUACAUAGCCAUGAGGGCCAUACAGGGGACAGACACUCGGCCGGACCAGUGCUGUAUAAUGAGCCUCACAGGACCAGCGCCUGUCCACACACACACACACACACACACACAGGUGAGAGAGACGGGCGCUAGCACACACACAGAACAAGACAGUGUUGUGUGUUUCUGUAGAUCAGCUGCCACACAUUGUCUUCUGCAGUGCUGCAAACUAAAACACACAAUGAUGGACAUUUAUGCGUUUGGCAGACGCUUUUUUCCAAAGUGACUUACAUUGUAUUGAAGGUUCAGAUUCCCUCAGGUCACACAUUCACUGGGAAUCAAACCCAUUACCUUAUUGUGUGUGUGUGUGUGUGUGUGUAUAUGUAUAUGUAUAUAUGUGUGUAUAUAUACAGUGGGUACGGAAAGUAUUCAGACCCCCUUAAUUUUUUCAGUCUUUGUUAUAUUGCAGCCAUUUGCUAAAAUCAUUUAAGUUCAUUUUUUUCCUCAUUAAUGUACACACAGCACCCCAUAUUGACAGAAAAACACAGAAUUGUUGACAUUUUAGCAGAUUUAUUAAAAAAGAAAAACUGAAAUAUCACAUGGUCCUAUAUAUAUGUGUGUGUGUGUGUGUGUGUGUGUGUGUGUGUGUGUAUAAAUGAAUGUAUGUGUGUGUGUAGGUAUAUGUAUCUGUGUGUGUGUAUGUGAGUAUAUGUGUGUGUGUGUGUAUGUAUAAAUGAAUGUAUAUGAGUGUGUGUAUGUAUGCAUGUAUAUGUGUAUGUAUAUGUGUGUGUGUGUAUGUGAGUAUAUGUGUGUGUAUGUAUGUAUAAAUGAAUAUAUAUGUAUGUGUGUGUGUAUGUAUAAAUGAGUGUGUGUGUGUAGGUAUAUGUAUGUAUCGGUGUGUGUGUGGUGUUCAGAUUCCCUCAGGUCACGCAUUCACUGGGAAUCAAACCUAUUACCUUAUUGUGUGUGUGUGUGUGUGUUCUUGUAUAUAUGGUUUAUGAGGACACAAAUGUGUAUAAUAACAUGGGUAUUACAAUGUAAACAUUUCCUGUGGCUUGAACCAAAUGGCUCAAAAAACAUACUAAAGUGUUUUUUGUUUUAAAUUCCAAAAAUGCAGUUUCAUUAUUGAUUCUUUUUUUUUUUUUUUUUUACUGUGUAUCUGUUGUAGAAAUUAAAAAUAUUUGAGCAUAGAGUGCAACAAUAAAGCAAGCUCAAUAUUGUAAAUAAACAUACGUUGAAGAUGAGCAUAAUUUAACUCGAUUAAAUCAGUAUUAACUUUGAUGUAUAAUGUUCAUUUAUAUAAUAAAUAUGCUAAACUGA